rnacentral:misc_RNA from 1 species
CCAAUAGCGUAUAUUAAAGUUGUUGCAGUUAAAAAGCUCGUAGUUGAAUUUCGGAGUUUGUCGGUUGGUCGGGCUUCACUGUCCGCACUGACCUGAUGGAUUCCUACCUUCUGAAUAACCAGCAUGCUAUUAAGUUAGUGCGUUGGGGAAGCAGAGCUAUUACCUUGAAAAAAUUAGAGUGCUUAAAGCAGGCUUAUGCUUUAAUAGAUUAGCAUGGAAUAAUAAAAUAGGACUGCAUGGUUCUAUUUUGUUGGUUUCUAGGAUCACCGUAAUGAUUAAUAGGGAUAGUUGGGGGCAUUAUUAUUCAAUUGUCAGAGGUGAAAUUCUUGGAUUGAUUGAAGACUAACUUCUGCGAAAGCAUUUGCCAAGGAUGUUUUCAUUAAUCAAGAACGAAAGUUAGGGGAUCGAAGACGAUCAGAUACCGUCGUAGUCUUAACCAUAAACUAUGCCGACUAGGGAUCGGACGAUGUUAAUUUUUUAAUGACUCGUUCGGCGCCUUACG